rnacentral:rRNA from 1 species
AGGGAAACCGAGUCUUAACUGGGCGUUAAGUUGCAGGGUAUAGACCCGAAACCCGGUGAUCUAGCCAUGGGCAGGUUGAAGGUUGGGUAACACUAACUGGAGGACCGAACCGACUAAUGUUGAAAAAUUAGCGGAUGACUUGUGGCUGGGGGUGAAAGGCCAAUCAAACCGGGAGAUAGCUGGUUCUCCCCGAAAGCUAUUUAGGUAGCGCCUCGUGAACUCAUCUUCGGGGGUAGAGCACUGUUUCGGCUAGGGGGUCAUCCCGACUUACCAACCCGAUGCAAACUACGAAUACCGAAGAAUGUUAUCACGGGAGACACACGGCGGGUGCUAACGUCCGUCGUGAAGAGGGAAACAACCCAGACCGCCAGCUAAGGUCCCAAAGUCAUGGUUAAGUGGGAAACGAUGUGGGAAGGC